GUUUGCAGUGGUGACACGGUACAACAGUGAGUGAAAUUUGCAAUCAUAAUCACGUAGGGAGUGUUCAGUGGGGAAACGUGAGUGAGGAAGAUAGGAUAUUUAUAUUAUUUGAAUUAUUACUUGAUAACAUGUCAAUGUGUGUGUGUGUGUGUGUGUGUGUGUGUUGGUUGAGGAGCAGAGACAGAUGGCGCUUGAGAGGGUGAGCGGCUGGCUGAGUGUUUUGGCCGGCGCUGCUCAGUCUUGACCGACGCAAUCUGGUGAUAAGUGUUUCCGUGUUCCCGGCUGCUUCUCCCUGUACCAAGCACCGCCACGCAACAACAGAGACCCAUGAGUACGUAAGGAUGGAGAGAUUAGGACACCACACGGAGGGGGGUGAAGGAGCCUUGAAGAUGCCUGAAGGAGCGACAGGAAGAAGGAAGGCCUGGAGAUGAAGGAAAUGCAGAAAAUUCCUCUAAUACUGAACGCUUCUCUGCUCAGACCAUCCUUUACUGAAUAUUUGGACCGAGGCUUCAAGAUACGAGUGAACCAGGUGACCCUCCAGAACAGCGCCAUCCUGCCUACUUGUGGUGUGCCAGCCCUGAUCGUCCCCCUCCCUUCCUCCUCCUCCUCCUCCUACAGCAAAAAAAGAGACGUUUAAUUAGCUGGUGGAAAGAACUCAAGGAAGAAGAAAAAGAUGAGAACAAGAAUGGAAGGAGGAGGAGGAAGAAAUUAGACCAGUCUCUCUUUUCUUACAAAAACCACAAGAUUAUAACUCUUCUUCCUCUUCCUCCUUCUCCUCCAGAGACGAGGUACUUCUCCAAGCCAUAGAAAACGGACUUCACGAUCUUAACCAGCAUCUCCCGCCUAAUUUCCGUUUUCUGUUUGAUGGGGAACUCUCGUAUUCCAGUUAAAUUGGCGCGCGCGCGCGCGAGAGAGAGAGAGAGAGAGAGAGAGAGAGAGAGAGAGAGAGAGCUAAUGUUAUAAGUUUAGAUUUUAUAUAUUUAUUUUUAUAGUUAUUUAAAAAUUAUAUUAUUGUUGU